rnacentral:rRNA from 1 species
GCAGCCGCCGCGGGAAUACAGAGGGUGCGAGCGUUAAUCGGAUUUACUGGGCGUAAAGCGUGCGUAGGCGGCUAAUUGAGUCGGAUGUGAAAUCCCCGAGCUUAACUUGGGAAUUGCAUUCGAUACUGGUUAGCUAGAGUGUGGGAGAGGAUGGUAGAAUUCCAGGUGUAGCGGUGAAAUGCGUAGAGAUCUGGAGGAAUACCGAUGGCGAAGGCAGCCAUCUGGCCUAACACUGACGCUGAGGUACGAAAGCAUGGGGAGCAAACAGGAUUAGAUACCCCAGUAGUCCCUGUCUCUUAUAC